GUCCACGCCGUAAACGAUGGAUACUAGGUGCUGCGGGUAUUGACCCCUGCGGCGCCGGCGCUAACGCAUUAAGUAUCCCGCCUGGGAAGUACGGCCGCAAGGCUAAAACUCAAAGGAAUUGACGGGGCCCGCACAAGCGGUGGAGCAUGUGGUUUAAUUCGACGCAACGCGAAGAACCUUACCCAGGCUUGACAUCGAAGGAACCUGGUUGAAAGACCGGGGUGCUCUUCGGAGCCCUGAAGACAGGUGCUGCAUGGCUGUCGU
rnacentral:rRNA from 1 species